rfam:Colletotrichum higginsianum, IMI 349063, WGS project CACQ02000000 data, contig: cont1.4907
GGGCGCUUGGUCUAGGGGUAUGAUUUUCGCUUCGCACUUCCUUCAGGAACGCGCCAUUGUGAAAGGUCGUGGGUUCAAUUCCCACAGUGUCCA